rnacentral:rRNA from 1 species
AACCCUUGUCCUUAGUUACCAGCACGUUAUGGUGGGCACUCUAAGGAGACUGCCGGUGACAACCGGAGGAAGUGGGGAUGACGUCAAGUCAUCAUGGCCCUUACGGCCUGGGCUACACACGUGCUACAAUGGUCGGUACAAAGGGUUGCCAAGCCGCGAGGUGGAGCUAAUCCCAUAAAACCGAUCGUAGUCCGGAUCGCAGUCUGCAACUCGACUGCGUGAAGUCGGAAUCGCUAGUAAUCGUGAAUCAGAAUGUCACGGUGAAUACGUUCCCGGGCCUU